rnacentral:rRNA from 1 species
UACGAAGGGGGCUAGCGUUGUUCGGAAUUACUGGGCGUAAAGCGUAUGCAGGCGGACUUUUAAGUCGGGGGUGAAAUCCCGAGGCUCAACCUCGGAACUGCCUUCGAUACUGGAAGUCUUGAGUCCGGGAGAGGUGAGUGGAACUCCGAGUGUAGAGGUGAAAUUCGUAGAUAUUCGGAAGAACACCAGUGGCGAAGGCGGCUCACUGGCUCGGUACUGACGCUGAGAUACGAAAGCGUGGGGAGCAAACAGG